UACAGAGGUCUCAAGCGUUGUUCGGAAUCACUGGGCGUAAAGGGUGCGUAGGCCGCACGGUAAGUCAGAGGUGAAAUCCCGGAGCUCAACUCCGGAAUUGCCUCCGAUACUGCCGUGCUUGAGGACUGGAGAGGAGUCUGGAAUUCACAGUGGAGCAGUGAAAUGCGUAGAUAUUGUGAGGAACACUAGUGGCGAAGGCGAGACUCUGGACAGUUCCUGACGCUGAGGCGCGAAAGCUAGGGUAGCAAACGGG
rnacentral:rRNA from 1 species